UACGUAGGGGGCAAGCGUUUGUCCGGAUUUAUUGGGCGUAAAGAGCGUGUAGGCGGCUUUACAGGUCCGUUGUGAAAACUCGAGGCUCAACCUCGAGACGCCGGUGGAAACCGUAAGGCUAGAGUCCGGAAGAGGAGAGUGGAAUUCCUGGUGUAGCGGUGAAAUGCGCAGAUAUCAGGAAGAACACCCGUGGCGAAGGCGGCUCUCUGGGACGGUACUGACGCUGAGACGCGAAAGCGUGGGGAGCAAACAGG
rnacentral:rRNA from 1 species